CACGUAGGGUGCGAGCGUUGUCCGGAAUUAUUGGGCGUAAAGAGCUCGUAGGCGGUGUGUCGCGUCGGCCGUGAAAACCUGCAGCUUAACUGUGGGCUUGCGGUCGAUACGGGCAUCACUGGAGUUCGGCAGGGGGAGACUGGAAUUCCUGGUGUAGCGGUGAAAUGCGCAGAUAUCAGGAGGAACACCGGUGGCGAAGGCGGCAUCC
rnacentral:rRNA from 1 species